rnacentral:rRNA from 1 species
GAUGAACGCUGGCGGCGUGCCUAAUACAUGCAAGUCGAGCGAACAGACGAGGAGCUUGCUCCUCUGACGUUAGCGGCGGACGGGUGAGUAACACGUGGAUAACCUACCUAUAAGACUGGGAUAACUUCGGGAAACCGGAGCUAAUACCGGAUAAUAUAUUGAACCGCAUGGUUCAAUAGUGAAAGACGGUUUUGCUGUCACUUAUAGAUGGAUCCGCGCCGCAUUAGCUAGUUGGUAAGGUAACGGCUUACCAAGGCAACGAUGCGUAGCCGACCUGAGAGGGUGAUCGGCCACACGGGAACUGAGACACGGUCCAGACUCCUACGGGAGGCAGCAGUAGGGAAUGUUCCGCAAUGGGCGAAAGCUUGACGGAGCAACGCCGCGUGAGUGAUGAAGGUCUUCGGAUCGUAAAACUCUGUUAUGAGGGAAGAACAAAUGUGUAAGUAACUAUGCACGUCUUGACGGUACCUAAUCAGAAAGCCACGGCUAACUACGUG